GACGAACGCUGGCGGCGUGCUUAACACAUGCAAGUCGAACGGAAAGGCCCUGCUUUUGUGGGGUGCUCGAGUGGCGAACGGGUGAGUAACACGUGAGUAACCUGCCCUCGACUUUGGGAUAACGUCAGGAAACUGGGGCUAAUACCGGAUAGGAGCUCCUGCUCCAUGGUGGGGGGUGGAAAGUUUCGGCGGUUGGGGGUGGACUCGCGGCUUAUCAGCUUGUUGGUGGGGUAGUGGCUUACCAAGGCUUUGACGGGUAGCCGGCCUGAGAGGGUGACCGGCCACAUUGGGACUGAGAUACGGCCCAGACUACUACGGGAGGCAGUAGUGGGGAGUAUUGCACAAUGGGCGGAAGCCUGAUGCAGCAACGCCGCGUGCGGGAUGACGGCCUUCGGGUUGUAAACCGCUUACGCCUGUGACGAAGCGGGAGUGACGGUAAUGGGUAAAGAAGCACCGGCUAACUACGUG
rnacentral:rRNA from 1 species